UACAUAGGGUGCAAACGUUGCUCGGAAUUAUUGGGCGUAAAGCGCGCGUAGGCGGUUACUCAAGUCGGAUGUGAAAGCCCUCGGCUUAACUGAGGAAGUGCACCCGAAACUGAGUAGCUAGAGUACUAAAGAGGGUCGCGGAAUUCCCGGUGUAGAGGUGAAAUUCGUAGAUAUCGGGAGGAACACCGGUGGCGAAGGCGGCGACCUGGGUAGAUACUGACGCUGAGGCGCGAAAGCGUGGGGAGCAAACAGG
rnacentral:rRNA from 1 species